GCCAUUUUGUACGUCUUAAGCAUGAUGACUGCGGUUUCAAGCUCACGGUGAGGUAUGCCUCCCUCAACCCUUGUUACGGAUGCCAGUCUGACA
rnacentral:snoRNA from 2 species